AUUUUUUUGCCACUUUUUUUCAAUAUUAUUUCUAUCAUUAUUAGUAUUAAACCCACAUAAUAGGAUUAUGGGUUUGGAUUUACCAUCUGGUGGGCAUUUAACACAUGGUUAUUAUACAUCUGGUGGGAAAAAGAUAUCGGCUACUUCAAUUUACUUUGAGAGUUUACCUUAUAAGUUGGAUUCGACAACUAUUACGAUAGUCGAGCAAAUUAACACAAUUUGGAUGUCCUGGCGAUCUGGUUUUAUGCUUUGUGAUCCAUGAGUUAAUGUUGAAAAAUUGGUAUUAGUUGAACUUGUAGGUCUUGUCAAGUUUCUUCUGAUUACAUGAUUAUGAUGAGGCUUAAUGGGGAAUUACUCUUCACAUAAUUUAUACACUAGAGUCUGAUUUCUAAUGAUUUGCAUUUGUUUUAUACGCUGCGAUUUGAGUUGUGACUUUGGUAUUUCAAGACUGUCUUUGUUAGUGUCUUCACUAGAUCUACUCUUAGGCCUUCAAACUGCCAUAGAAGAAAGGCUAUUUUUUGGUAGAUCUAAGCAUUUUAGAAGUUAAUGAAAUGUUUUGUCCUUGAGAUGCGCGAUGUUCCUUUUUCCCCCUAAAUGUUACACUAUUGGUCCUUAAGUAUAUUUUUUUUAAAAAUCCUACAAGCUGUGUUUGAAGAGCUCAAUUUAGAUUAUGGCUGUUCAUCUUUAAUCUAAUAGAUGCAUGGAUUAAAGAAGCAGGGAUGUAUCAUGACAGUACUUUGUCCUUCAGAUGGAGCCUCAUUUUUAAAAGAUUUCUCCUUUUCUGGUGAAUGGUGCAAUGUCAGUUUACUAUGCAUUGUUUGAUUAAAUUAGAACCAAGCAGAUUAGACCAUGUGAGAUGUAACCGAUGUCUACUGUCUACAUUCCAAGGUUGUUGUUUUCCUUGUUAUUAAAUUCCAGAAUUCUAUCAGUUAAUCAUUAGUACUGUUAACUGCUACAUGCACAUUUUAUUUACGCUAUUACUAAGUUGAAUCUUGGUAUGAAUAUCACAAUCCAUAAUGGCAAAGACACCUUCUCGUAUGUUUUUAAGACUUCACAAAAAACCAUUUAGUUUCUGAAACUUGGCAAUUAGAAUAUCACUCAGUUCUUAUUGCUCCAGAGUCCAGCCCGUGUACAAUAUUCUACCUUCAAAAUUAAUAGCGUGAAGUGAUUUCAUUUUCCUUUCUCUGUUGUUCACCUUUGUUUUGGAAUGUUUUUCUUCUGUUGUUUCAUGCAUUAGCCACUGAGAUUAUGUGGAAUUUAACAUUCUGCUUAUUUUUAGGUACUUUGUGUAGUUGGAGAUGUUUUUUUUUUUUGCAUGACACAAAUGGGCUGUCCCUUUUGAGAAAGCAUUUAUGAUUGUAGAAGUACUUUGAUGAAUUGGACGUGUUGAUGAGUUGCAUUGUUGAUUUGAUUGAUGAGUGUGACUGGCAGGUGGGCUGCUGUAAAAGAGGGUAAAAAAUCCACCAAUGUGCCCUGCCCAAGAUCCUGAUAUAGCCUGGUAUACAAAGAUUGAGACUUGCUUAACUCCCUUACCUGAAGUUUCAAGUGAAGAAGAGGUGGCUGGUGGACAAUUGAAAAAGUGGCCUAAAAGAUUACAAGCGAUACCACCGAGGAUAAGCAGGGGUACUGUAACUACAAUUGAUAAGUGUUUGAAUGUAGUUUUAAUUCGAAUUAGAAGUACUUUGAAGGUGAAUUUGAUUGUAGAAUGUAGUUUAUGGUUGUUUAAGUUUAUGAUGUUUAAGUGUUUCAAUGUAAUUGUAAUUUGAAUUAGAAGUACUUUAAAUUGGAAUUUGAGGUUGAAUUUGAUUGUAGAAUGUUGUAGUUUAUGACUGUAGAAGUACUUUGAUGAAUUGGAUGUGUUGAUGAAUUGCAUUGUUGAUUUGGUUGAUGAAUGAGAUUGGCUGGUGGGCAGCUGAAUGCUGGAA